AGAGUUUGAUCAUGGCUCAGAGCGAACGCUAGCGGGUGGCUUAACACAUGCAAGUCGAGCGCUUUCCUUCGGGAAAGAGCGGCGAACGGGUGAGUAACACGUAGGAUAUCUGCCUUUUGGUGGGGAAUAGCCGAGGGAAACCUCGAUUAAUGCCGCAUAUGGCCUAAGGGUCAAAGCCUUCGGGCGCCAAGAGAUGAGCCUGCGGCCCAUUAUUUAAUCCUUGUUGGUGGGGUAAUGGCCUACCAAGGGUACGAUGGGUAGCUGGUCUGAGAGGACGAUCAGCCACACUGGGACUGAGACACGGCCCAGACUCCUACGGGAGGCAGCAGUGGGGAAUAUUGCGCAAUGGGCGAAAGCCUGACGCAGCCAACCCGCGUGUGUGAUGAAGGCCCUAGGGUUGUAAAGCACUGUCGUGAGGGAAGAAUACUGACGGUACCUCACAAGAAAGCACCGGCUAACUCCGUGCCAGCAGCCGCGGUAAUACGGAGGGUGCAAGCGUUGCUCGGAAUUACUGGGCGUAAAGGGUCCGCAGGCGGGUGUGUAAGUCGGAUGUGAAAGCCCAGGGCUCAACCCUGGAACUGCAUUCGAAACUGCACACCUUGAGUACGGGAGAGGGAAGCGGAAUUCCUGGUGUAGAGGUGAAAUUCGUAGAUAUCAGGAGGAACACCCGUGGCGAAGGCGGCUUCCUGGCCCGAUACUGACGCUCAUGGACGAAAGCGU
rnacentral:rRNA from 1 species